rnacentral:misc_RNA from 1 species
CAGGGUCUGACGACUGCCCAAACCAAACCGUGAACUAUUCCAUCAAACUUGCUGCGGCGGGCCGCUCGCUGGGGGAGCCUUGACCGUCAUGGUGGUCUGCCGGAGCAAACAAAAAAAACUACUUUGAUACAUUACCUCUGAGAACUUUCUAAAUUGAGAAUAAUCA